rnacentral:snRNA from 1 species
AUACUUACUUCGGCAGUUAUAUAUACUAAAAUUGGAACGAUAAAGAGUAGAUUAGAAUGACCCCUGCGUAAGGCUAACACGCAAAAUCGUGAAGCGCUCCACAUUUUG